rnacentral:lncRNA from 1 species
ACUGUGUGUGUGUGUUCUUUUAUGUGUUAAUUACUAUGUGUGCCUCACAAAGACAAAUAAAUUCCAUUGUGCCACCCAGAACUUGGCGUUGUUGUUAUUGUUUUGUUGUUUGUUGUUGAUAAGCUCAUGGCCUGGAUUCUGCCCUGAACAAGGAAGGCUUGUUUGGCAGGGCAAGCUAUCAUUAGUGGUGCCACUGAGACUUCAGGUUCUUCUGUUCAUGCCCCGGGGCCACCAAGAGAUACCCUGGUCCUUGCCACAGUGGAAGGAGCCCUGACAAGUGUCAAACAGAAGCAGCUGCACUGGGCAUAAUAGGUGUUCCAGGGUCAGGAGAGCGUGUCUUCCUUUGAGCUAAUCCACAGAAGACAAAUUAGCUAUGGAAAGUGUCUACCAUUUUAAAAUAGUACUGUGCCCACAGUCAUGCCUUGAAGUGAUGUUGGUUCAGUUCUGUUGGAUCCUUAUGAAAAGCAUAUUGUAUAAUUAUGUAUAAAUUAUAAGACUGAAAAUAAGAUGACACGACACUAAUGACUUGCUUCGUGCAUCCCAAUGUGUAUACUAUGUUAGACAUUUCCCAGGAUCCCACUCACCAUUAUCAGAGUCCACUUACAAACUAUGAGACAUGCUCAUCAGCUCACACACUACCCAGGUGUUCUUCCUUAAUAGUCUUUCUUGUCACCAGCCUAACACCUGGUGGAACCCAAGCAAAAACACCUACUGGAAAUGGACAGAAACUUAACAAAGGUGAUUUCUGCCCAUCUGACUCAAUGAGGGACUUAGCCACUUGUACUUCCUGUGGUGCCUGGGGCAGGACGGGGCUCUCUUUAGUAAUGUCAUGUUCUAAUUACUUAUGAAUACUUUAUACCGUGUUAUAGAAAACAUCUACACAUCUACACAUACACAUAUAUUUUAGGGGAAUUAGGAGCAGUAAGUAUUGUUUUACCCUAGAACUGUGUUAAGAGUUUUAACAUUUAACGUUUUAACAUAAUCUGUCUUGCCCCUCCCUAAUCCUAUCCUUGCAACCCCACC